rnacentral:rRNA from 1 species
UGGGGAAUAUUGGACAAUGGGCGCAAGCCUGAUCCAGCCAUGCCGCGUGAGUGAUGAAGGCCCUAGGGUUGUAAAGCUCUUUCACCGGUGAAGAUAAUGACGGUAACCGGAGAAGAAGCCCCGGCUAACUUCGUGCCAGCAGCCGCGGUAAUACGAAGGGGGCUAGCGUUGUUCGGAAUUACUGGGCGUAAAGCGCACGUAGGCGGACAUUUAAGUCAGGGGUGAAAUCCCGGGGCUCAACCCCGGAACUGCCUUUGAUACUGGGUGUCUAGAGUUCGAGAGAGGUGAGUGGAAUUCCGAGUGUAGAGGUGAAAUUCGUAGAUAUUCGGAGGAACACCAGUGGCGAAGGCGGCUCACUGGCUCGAUACUGACGCUGAGGUGCGAAAGCGUGGGGAGCAAAACAGGAUUAGGAUACCCUGGUAGUCCACGCCGUAAAACGAUGGAAGCCAGCUGUCGGCAAGUUUACUUGUCGGUGGCGCAGCUAACGCAUUAAGCUUCCCGCCUGGGGAGUACGGUCGCAAGAUUAAAACUUAAAUGAAUUGACGGGGUCAUAGCUGUUUCCUG